AACGCUGGCGGCGCGUUUUAAGCAUGCAAGUCGUGGGGUAUAUAUCAGCUUGCUGAUAUAGAGACCGGCGCACGGGUGAGUAACACGUGAGAAUCUACCCGAAGAUGGGGGAUAGCCCAUGGAAACAUGGGGUAAUACCGCAUAUUCCGCGAGGAGAAAGCUUCUUUUGAAGCGUCUUUGGAUGAGCUUGCGGUCCAUUAGCUAGUUGGUGGGGUAACUGCCUACCAAGGCGACGAUGGAUAGCCGGCCUGAGAGGGUGAACGGCCACAUUGGGACUGAGACACGGCCCAGACUCCUACGGGAGGCAGCAGCUAAGAAUCUUCCGCAAUGGGAGCAAUCCUGACGGAGCGACGCCGCGUGAACGAAGAAGGCCGAAAGGUUGUAAAGUUCUUUUAUAGGGGAAGAAUAAAGCAAAUCAGAGAAAGGUAUGCCGAUGACGGUACCCUAUGAAUAAGCCUCGGCUAAUUACGUGCCAGCAGCCGCGGUAAUACGUAAGAGGCAAGCGUUGUUCGGAAUUAUUGGGCGUAAAGGGCGUGUAGGUGGUUUACUAAGUGUGGAUUUAAAGACCGGAGCUUAACUCCGAGUAUGGUCUGCAAACUGGUAAACUAGAGUAUAGAAGGGGAGACUGGAAUUCCGCGUGUAGGGGUGAAAUCUGUAGAUAUGCGGAAGAAUACCGGUGGCGAAGGCGAGUCUCUGGUCUAUAACUGACGCUGAUGCGCGAACGUGUGGGGAGCGAACAGGAUUAGAUACCCUGGUAG
rnacentral:rRNA from 1 species